rnacentral:rRNA from 1 species
CAAGAGCGUAUAUUAAAGUUGUUGCAGUUAAAAAGCUCGUAGUUGAAUGUCUGGCAUGAGGCAGGGAGUGGGCGCUGUGUGAUGUGGACUUUGCGUUCACCGGCAGUGCUGCUCCUGGUCACUCUGUGUGGCUGUUUUGCUCUCAUGCCCUUCCUCACAGGCAGCUGCUUGCAGCUAGCUCUGUGUCCUUUACUGUGAAUAAAUUAGAGUGUUCAAAGCAGAGCUUGUUGCUCCUGAAUACCUUAGCAUGGAAUAAUAAGAUAGGACGCUUGGUACUGAAAAGUCUCGUUUUGUUGGUUGCCUCCUGCUUGCAGGGGCAUGCGGCCCGGCGUAAUGAUGAAUAGGAACAGUUGGGGUCAGUCAAAUUUAACUGUCAGAGGUGAAAUUCUAGGAUUUGUUAAAGAUGAACAAAUGCGAAAGCAUCUGUCAAGGAUGUUUUCAUUAA